rnacentral:tRNA from 1 species
UGGGUGGAUUCCCGAGUGGCCAAAGGGGACAGACUGUAAAUCUGCUGCGUAAUGCUUCGAUGGUUCGAAUCCAUCUCCGCCCAU